AGUCUUAUAUUCAUAUAAUGAUAUAAAAUUGCAAAUUUUAAGGAGUAAUUUAUUUACUAAGGCUU
rnacentral:tRNA from 1 species